rnacentral:rRNA from 1 species
ACUACGGGCGGCAGCAGUGGGGAAUAUUGCACAAUGGGGGAAACCCUGAUGCAGCGACGCCGCGUGAGUGAAGAAGUAUUUCGGUAUGUAAAGCUCUAUCAGCAGGGAAGAAAAUGACGGUACCUGAGUAAGAAGCCCCGGCUAACUACGUGCCAGCAGCCGCGGUAAUACGUCGGGGGAAAGAGUUAUCCGGAUUUACUGGGUGUAAAGGGAGCGUAGACGGCAGCACAAGUCUGGCGUGAAAUGCCGGGGCUUAACCCCGGAACUGCUUUGGAAACCUUGCAGCUAGCGUGCAGGAGAGUUAAGUUGAAUUCCUGGUGUAGCGGUGAAAUGC